rnacentral:tRNA from 1 species
CGGUAGCACAGCCCGGUAGUGCAUCCCGCGCAAUUGGGCGGGAGGGUCGCUGGUUCGAGUCCAGUCACCCCGA